GGGAGAACUAUGUUCAGUGGCGAAACUGAGGGGGGACGUGGGAAGGCCUCGGCCACCCCUCAACUUUUUAUUUUUUUUAAUUCAUAUAUAUUAAAUUACUAAAACAUCCUUAUUUUAAAUUAAAAUUAAUUUUUAUUUUUUCUUUUUCAUUCAAAGUUAGGUUAAAAUACAGAUAAGGUAAAAAGCUCUUACCUUUCCU
rnacentral:lncRNA from 1 species